rnacentral:rRNA from 1 species
UCUGGUGCCAGCAGCCGCGGUAAUUCCAGCUCCAAUAGCGUAUAUUAAAGUUGCUGCGGUUAAAAAGCUCGUAGUUUGAGUUGUGUCCUACGCCGUCGGUUCGUCGCCCGUCGGCGUUACCGUUCGGUCAUAUCAGUGGGACGUCCAGUCGGUGGGGCGCUGGUCGCGCGCGUCGCCUUCGGGCGACUAGCUCGGUGCCGGCCUCAUGCUACCUGUCUCGGUGCUCUUUACCGAGUGUCUUGACGGGCCGACUCGUUUACUUUGAACAAAUUAGAGUGCUCAAAGCAGGCUACGACGCUUGAAUAUUGUCUGCAUGGAAUAAUGGAACAGGACCUCGAAUCUAUUUUAUUGGUUUUCUGAUUCGGAGGUAAUGAUUAAUAGGGACUGACGGAGGCAUCUGUAUUGCUACGUUAGAGGUGAAAUUCUUGGAUUGUCGCAAGACGAACGUAUGCGAAAGCGUUUGCCGAGAAUGUCUUCCUUAAUCAAGAACGAAAGUUAGAGGUUCGAAGGCGAUCAGAUACCGCCCUAGUUCUAACCAUAAACAAUGCCAACCAGCAAUCCGUGGAUGUUCCUCCGAUGACUCCACGGGCAGCUUCCGGGAAACCAAAGUUUUUGGGUUCCGGGGGAAGUAUGGUUGCAAAGCUGAAACUUAAAGGAAUUGACGGAAGGGCACCACCAGGAGUGGAGCCUGCGGCUUAAUUUGACUCAACACGGGAAACCUCACCAGGCCCGGACACUGGAAGGAUUGACAGAUUGAUAGCUCUUUCUUGAUUCAGUGGGUGGUGGUGCAUGGCCGUUCUUAGUUGGUGGAGCGAUUUGUCUGGUUAAUUCCGAUAACGAACGAGACUCUGGCCUACUAACUAGUCGCGAAACGACAUCCGCAUUCGUGCUGUCGGCGACAAUAUGAACUCUUCUUAGAGGGACAAGCGGUUCUACCGCACGAGAUUGAGCAAUAACAGGUCUGUGAUGCCCUUAGAUGUUCUGGGCCGCACGCGCGCUACACUGAAGGAAUCAACGUGUGCACAUCCUUGUCCGAGAGGACCGGGUAACCCGCUGAAACUCCUUCGUGCUAGGGAUUGGGGAUUGUAAUUAACCCCAUAAACGAGGAAUUCCUAGUAAGCGCGGGUCAUUAUCCCGCACUGACUAGGUCCCUGCCCUUUGUACACACCGCCCGUCGCUACUACCGAUUGAAUGAUUUAGUGAGGUCUUCGGACUGACGCGCGGCUAUGCGCAAGUGUGUCGAUGCCGGCGGAAAGAUGAUCAAACUUGAUCAUUUACAGGAAGUAAAAGUCGUAACAAGGUUUCGU